CUACUGGUAAGUCCCAUUUGAGUUUUACAUAACAACCAGGAGAAUAUCUCACUAAAUUGAAUCAAAGUUUUUAUGAGAAUUUUCAAUCUCUUUGAGCCGAGUGUUGUUUUGCUAUUAAUUUGAUUUUCUCCCUAUGUGUAUGCUAUAUUUGGUAGUUUGAUUAUUUUGUCAAUAUGUGGAUGUGAGAGAUGUUAUCACAGUAUUCAAGGCAAAAUGUAUCAUUAUUUUGGUUUGUUUAUGUAAUGGCAUGGGGAGAGUGAUAGACUUGAUCCUUGGUGCUGUAAUUGGGGAUGGUGUGUGAGUAGUCCGUUCCAUAUGUACCUGUAAAAACUUUACUCUCCUACCAGCUUGGAACGUCAUUGUCUCUCUAAGCAUAAUAGAAAUCGUAUGGUUCACAAAUCCUAAAACAAUAUGUUCCACCAUGGACUUCUCAUGUGGAAGAAUGCAGUUCUGAUCUGAGAGUUGGUUUACGACAAACUUCUCGUGUGGAAGAGUUCAGAGGCUGUCCUGCUGGUUGAUGCAUUGGAAACACAGUUUUGAGGUUGAAUAUAUAAUUGCUGUUCAGCUAUUCAUGGAUGGAGCUAUAACACGAUGGAGAUGUAAUUUGUUGAUCUCUGCUGCUAUUCUUGUGCUGUGCUGUGGACCUCCCUUUGUAAUUUGGUGAUCAUCAGAGGCAACAACAACAUAAUGGAAAUGCUCGCUUCUUUUGUGCUCUAGUAUUUGGUGAUCAGCAAAAGACGACAUAAAUCGUGUGGUUUUUUGAAAUUUGGUUUUCGCCUUGUCAAUUAUCCUUCAGUGUUGUCUCUUUUUUUAUUGAAGGAGAUUGAAAUUCAGUUUGUUUGGAUCAAAGGUAAAUUGCAACUAGUUCUGGAAUUGUCUCCAUGGGAACCCACAAUGCAUGCGUAUUUAUCAUCGAUUUGAAAUUAGCCGUAUUGUGUUGUCUGUUGUGUGGAUAUAAAGCCCAUUGUUGACUUAACUUACAGAACUGCCUUUUAUUUAUCA